UAAUAAUGCGGCGAUUCUGCUCUGUUCCGCGAGGCCGGCGAGCGGCCGCCGCUUCCUACGGCCACCACCACCACCAGCCGCCGCCACCGCUCCCGCCGCCGGAGUGGAUCGAGCCGUACACUGACCUGUCGGACCCCAGCCCGUCCGCCUCCGCCACCCCGUCGCCGUGGCUCGCCCGCGUCGUCUCCCUCGUCCUCCGCUCCCCGCCCGCCACGCUCGCCGCCGACCUCCGCGCCUUCUGCAGGACCUUCCUCCUCCGCCUCUCCCCCGCCUUCGUCGCCGCGGCCCUGCGGUCGCCGCAGCUCCUCCCCCACCCGCUCCCCUCGCUCCAGUUCUUCCGCUCCCUCCCCGACGGCGCCGCCGACCUCCUCUCCUCCCACCCGCAGCACCUGGUGAGCUGCUACGUCUCGCUGCUGCGCUCCUUCGCCCACUCCGGGGAGGCCGGCCCGGGCGCCGCGGCCCACGCGCGGCAGCUCGUCGCCGAGCUGCGCGCGCGCGGGGACCUCGCCUUGCAGCACCUCACGCCGUCGUCGUCGGCGUCUCUGAUCCGAAGCCUCGCUGCUCUCGGCCUCUCUGAUGAACUUCUAUGGGCGUGGAAGGCCAUGCGCCUCGCCGGCGUCGAGCCGUCCAGGCUGAUCUACAACUGCCUUCUCGAUGGCCUUGUUAACGCCGGCCUUCUUGAUACUGCCGUCAAUGUGUUCGACGCAAUGUCCACGGAAGAUCAAGUGCGCCCUGACGUGGUCUCCUACAACAUCCUCAUCAAGGGGUAUUGCCGUGCUGGGAGGGCGCAGGAUGCAAUGGCACGGCUCAGCGACAUGCAGGAACAGGCGAAGCUCACACCGGACAAGGUGACGUACCUCACACUAAUGCAGUGCCAUUACAGCGAAGGCACCUAUCCAGUGUGCAUAGGAUUGUUCCAGGAAAUGGAGGAGAGAGGAAUGGGGAAAGACAUACCACAGCAUGCUUAUGUUUUGGUGAUUGGUGCACUCUGCAAGGAUGGGAAGCCAUUUGAGGGAAUGGCAGUGUUUGAGAGGAUGCUGAAGCGAGGUUGUGCAGCCAAUGCAGCUAUAUACACUGCGCUCAUUGACUCAAUGGGUAAAUUCGGUAGAGAAAAGGAGGCAAUGGUACUUUUUGAGAGGAUGAAAGAUAGUGGGAUUAAACUCGACUCAGUUACUUAUGGAGUGAUUGUCAAUUGCCUGUGCCGCUUUGGGAAAUUUGAUGAGGCUGUUGCAUGCUUCAGAAAUUGUGAAGAGAAGGGCAUUGCAGUGAAUGCCAUCUUCUAUACAAGCUUGCUUGAUGGCUUUGGAAAAGCUGGAAUGGUCGACCAAGCACAGGAGCUCUUUGAGGAGAUGAUUGCUAAAGGUUUUGUGCCUGAUUCAUACUGCUACAAUGUUCUAAUUGAUGGAUUAGCCAAAUCAGGAAGGAUGGAUGAUGCAUGUGCUUUGUGUAAAAGAAUGGAAGAUGAUGGCUGUGAUCAAACUGUGUAUACAUAUACCAUUCUCAUUGAUGGUUUGUUCAAGAAACACAAGAAUGAGGAGGCACUGAAAUUUUGGGACGCAAUGAUCGAUAAGGGAAUUACCCCCACAGCUGCAGCUUUUAGGACCCUUGCCAAUGGGCUCUGUCUUUCUGGUAAAUUCAGCCAGGCAUGCAGGAUAUUGGAUGAACUUGCUCCAAUGGGGGUUAUUCCUGAGACAGCUCAUGAGGAUAUGAUUAAUGUGCUGUGUAAGGCUGGCAGAUUCAAGCAGGCCUGCAAAUUAGCAGAUGGAAUUGUAAAGAAAGGCCGUGAAAUACCUGGUAGGGUUCGUACAAUGAUGAUCAAUGCACUUCGAAAAGCAGGAAAUACUGAUCUAGCUGUCAAACUAGUGCAUAGUAAGAUAGGCAUUGGAUAUGAAAGAUCUGGCAGCAUCAAAAGAAGAGUGAAAUUUCAGACCCUGUUUCAGUGAGUUGCUGCUGAUUGUUAUUGAAAGUGGGAAGGCAUGUGAGUUACUGAUGGAUUUUGCAUGAUUUUUUUCACAGUAAUUAAUCUAUCUGCACAGGAAUUAGAAAAAAAAAAUCCUCAAUCCGAAGCUAGGCCUGAGUAGAGAUACCAUGGACAACGCUUAGGUCUCACACUGCAGUGCAGGAGAAAGAAUGUCCUCCAAAUAUUUUUGAACAUUUGGCAGAUUUCAGGAUUCCAGAAGCUUGAAACAUGUCAAUUUUGAACAACCAAAGGAAAUGCCAUUGCCUUAGUAAACAUAGAGGUUAGAGCAAUCUUCCACCUACAACUAGAGAAAAGAAAGUUGGUCCAUGAGUAUCACCUAAGAAAAAGAAAAGAACUCGGUCCUGGAUAUUCUCCAACUAAUUUGAGGUAUCACCUUUGAGUAAUGCCUAAGGCACGAGAGAAUAUGUGUUCAUUUGCUGGAGAUGAAGUAGGAUGGAGCGUGAAGACAUAUCAAUGAUAAUAUAGCAUGUUAGAGCAAACAACCUUCAUAUGGGGCACUAAUGGUGCUCCGACCUCUUGUUUUCUUCACCCACCUUGGGAGAAAUGUUGUGCGCCAAAAUCUCAGGGAGAGGAUGAGGCUGGGGUCUGCUGCUAUAGUUCAUCUGGGGGACUUUGGGAGAACAGGAAAAAGAAAGCAAAAUUGAGAGAUGGAGAAGAAACUGGAGAAACUGCCAUGUUUAGCUAGUUCAGUAGCUCGUAUCAGUAUCACUAAAGGGAAAUCAUAGCAGAGCUCCGUUUCGAGCUCAGACCUACAUCUGGUGGUGGUUUGCGGCUCUUGUCUCGUAGUGACGAGGACCAUGUUGGAGGCUUCACCGCUUCAGCAGCAAUCCGAGCACGAUUGGAGGCUCUCCAGGCAAUCUUCUGCGGUUGUGUAUGGAGCUUCUUUCCUUGAAUCUUGGAUUCAUUUAGUUCUGUCUCCAAGGAAUCAAGAUAUUGAUACAUCAAGAGUUACAUGUUGAACUGUAGCUGCAAGUGGCACAUAUAGAGAUGGCAAAGGGGACCGCGACCUGAGACCUGGUGGAUAUUUACUCCAUUAGGGUAUGGAUAUGAGCUAAAUAUGUUACCCGUGGGUAAGUAAUUGGGCAAAUACUUUUACCCAAUGGGUAUGCGGGUAUGGAAACGUUCUUAUGAUCCCCAUACCCGUUUACCCAUGGGUAAUAAAUACCCAUAAAGUUUAAAUGUAUGUCAUGGCCUAAUAUCAAAUUAGCAUAGCCUAAUUAACCAAAACCAUAGGUAUUUAAACCAUCUAUACAUUUUUCACUACACUAUAUGAAUGUAUGAUGUCCUAAGUAUCUAGUGUCUAUGCAAUAUACUAUAUGGAAACUGUGAUAUUUAGAUUGUUUUGAACUUUUGCGGGUAUAUGGGUGACGCAACGGGUAAAGUUUACCCAAGCAGGUAUAGGUAUGGGGAGGUUUUCUUACCUGUGACAAGUAUGGUAUUUUAAUGGUACAAUGGGUAUGGGUAUGGGAUAGCAACACCCGAUGAGUAUUUACCCAUUGCCAUCCCUAGACACAUAUUUGUUUUUCCAUAUGUGGAAUGUGGAGAAGGUUGAAUAUCAGAUAUCCUACAUGUUGAACAGGAACAUGAAGUGGAAGGUAAUCAUUCUCGUAUCCUCUUUUAUGUGACUCUAACAAGGAGGAAUGGUUUAAUUGUCCACAUUUUCGGCUUUCUUUGGUUAUCAUCAAUAGCAAUACAAAACAUGGACUCAUUUUAAUGCUGACAAUUAUUUUUCUAAGAAUGAGCUGAAGGACCUAAAUCUGGUAGCAGUUCAUGCUAGCCCUGAGCUGAUCAACCUGAAUAUCAUGAAUAUUCUUACACUAUAAAUUUCUCAUAUUUAAUUUUACUGUCAGACUGUAAACCGACUGAUCAGAGCUAUCUUAGCAUUGAACAUCGACUGAUAUGGUUUCUUUUGUUUGUUGCAUGCAAGGUGAUCAGUAUCGGGAUACUAGGUAGGAUUGUUUUCUGUUUGGUAGUAUCAUAGAAUCGAGAUACUAUUGUAGGAUUGGCAUACUGUUGAAUUUGAGAAAGUGUAUAUUUUUAUAUAAAAUAUGUAAUAUGUAUGUUGUAUAAA